rnacentral:rRNA from 1 species
UACCAGCUCUCCGAGUGGUAGGGAUGAUUAUUGGGCUUAAAGCGUCCGUAGCCGGCUUAGCAAGUUUCCUGUUAAAUUCAGCGACCUAAUCGUUGAGCCGCGGGAAAUACUACUAGGCUAGGAGGCGGGAGAGGUCGACGGUACUUCUGGGGUAGGGGUGAAAUCCUAUAAUCCCGGGAGGACCACCAGUGGCGAAGGCUGUCGACUAGAACGCGCUCGACGGUGAGGGACGAAAGCUGGGGGAGCGAACCGGAUUAGAUACCCGGGUAGUCCCAGCUGUAAACGAUGCGGGCUAGGUGUUGGGGUGGCUACGUGCCACUUCAGUGCCGCAGGGAAGCCAUUAAGCCCGCCGCCUGGGGAGUACGGCCGCAAGGCUGAAACUUAAGGAAUUGGGCGGGGAGCACCACAAGGCGUGAAGCUUGCGGUUC